UACGGGGGGAGCAAGCGUUGUUCGGAUUUACUGGGCGUAAAGGGCGCGUAGGCGGCGCGACAAGUCACUUGUGAAAUCUCCGGGCUUAACUCGGAGCGGCCAAGUGAUACUGUCGUGCUAGAGUGCGGAAGGGGCAACUGGAAUUCUCGGUGUAGCGGUGAAAUGCGUAGAGAUCGGGAGGAACACCAGAGGCGAAAGCGGCGACCUGGACAAGAACUGACACUCAACUACGAAAGCGUGGGGAGCAAACAGG
rnacentral:rRNA from 1 species